rnacentral:lncRNA from 1 species
UUUACUUGAAAGCUUUGAAGGUCUACUCCACAAAAUUGUUUGUGUUUACUUUGAGUUAAUUGUAUCCUAAGAGGUAACAUCAACUCAAAGUUUGAUUUGGAAAAAAUUGAGGAGGUAAAAAUAGUGGGAGGUGAAAAAGAAGUUGAAAUUUCAAAAGUAAAAAAUGGAGUUAUGAAAGAUGGUUGGAUGUAUUGAGAAAAGUUUAAGGAUUGGAAAAAUCCCCUCAUCAUCUUAAUCUCAACCUUAAUUGUGGGAGUGGUAGGGUGCUUUAGCAACUCUUCCUCUUCUUCUUUUAUCUCAAUCUCUUCUUUUUCUCUCUUUUCUUUCUCAUUCCAUUCUUUUAUCUUUUUCUCUUCAUACUCUCUUUUUCUUUUCUCCUCCUUUUUCUCUCUUCUUACUUGCUCCUCUCUCUUUCUUUGUUCUUUCUCUCUUUUUUCAUGCUCCUCUUUCUCCCUUUGUCCUUUCUUCUUUCUUUUGUCUUCCUCUCUUCUUCUCUUUAUCUUCCUUAAAUCCUUUUGGACUUUUUCUUGUUUUUUAUUAAGAAUUCUAAGCUCUUCUUCCAACUUAGCAAGAUACUCUUUUCUUUUAAUUCUUUCUUUUUCUUUGAGAAGGGUUUCUUGCCUUUGCCAAAUCUUAAG